AUGCCUCUCAAAUAUGUGUCGUCAUGGACAACCAUGAUUACAGGACUUGCAACACAUGGUGAGGAGCAGCGUGCACUAAGCAUGUUUGAUGAAAUGAGGAAUGAAGGGGUGCCGCCAAACAGGGUGACGAUGUUGGCAGUGCUCUCUGCUUGCUCACACAGAGGGCCGGUAGAUGCUGGGAUGGGCUUGCUGAAGCAAAUGGGAGAUGGAGAGAUUAAGGUAGCACCAACCGUUGAACACUACCGGUGUGUGGUUGAUAUGCUUGGUAGAGUUGGUUUGGUGGAUGAGUCGCGUGCCUUGGCGGAGCACAGAAUGCCGAUGAAGGCAAAUGUGGUGAUAUGGGGAUUGGGGAACAUUGCUUGGUGCAUGCGAGAAGCACUGCAAUGUGAAUGUUGGGAAGUUGGCAGCCGAGCAACUACUAGCGGCUGA
rnacentral:rRNA from 1 species